GGACGAACGCUGGCGGCGUGCCUAAUACAUGCAAGUCGAACGGUCUUUCUAUGGAAGCUUGCUUCCACUGAGAAGAUAGUGGCGAACGGGUGAGUAACACGUGGGUAACCUGCCCAUAAGAGGGGGGAUAACAUCCGGAAACGGGUGCUAAUACCGCAUAGUUUCUUGAUCGCAUGAUCGGGAAAGGAAAGACGGCCUUUGUGCUGUCGCUUAUGGAUGGACCCGCGGCGUAUUAGUUAGUUGGUGAGGUAACGGCUCACCAAGACGAUGAUACGUAGCCGACCUGAGAGGGUGAUCGGCCACAUUGGGACUGAGACACGGCCCAAACUCCUACGGGAGGCAGCAGUAGGGAAUCUUCCGCAAUGGACGAAAGUCUGACGGAGCAACGCCGCGUGAGUGAAGAAAAGGUUUUCGGAUCGUAAAACUCUGUUGUCAGAGAAGAACAAGUUGGAGAGUAACUGCUCCAGCCUUGACGGUAUCUGACCAGAAAGCCACGGCUAACUACGUGCCAGCCGCUGC
rnacentral:rRNA from 1 species